AGUUGAUCAUGGCUCAGAACGACGCUGGCGGCAUGCCUAACACAUGCAAGUCGAACGAGACCUUCGGGUCUAGUGGCGCACGGGUGCGUAACGCGUGGGAAUCUGCCCUUAGGUUCGGAAUAACAGUUAGAAAUGACUGCUAAUACCGGAUAAUGUCUUCGGACCAAAGAUUUAUCGCCCAGGGAUGAGCCCGCGUAGGAUUAGCUAGUUGGUGAGGUAAAGGCUCACCAAGGCGACGAUCCUUAGCUGGUCUGAGAGGAUGAUCAGCCACACUGGGACUGAGACACGGCCCAGACUCCUACGGGAGGCAGCAGUGGGGAAUAUUGGACAAUGGGCGAAAAGCCUGAUCCAGCAAUGCCGCGUGAGUGAUGAAGGCCUUAGGGUUGUAAAGCUCUUUUACCCGGGAUGAUAAUGACAGUACCCGCAGAAUAAGCCCCGGCUAACUUCGUG
rnacentral:rRNA from 1 species